UACGUAGGGCGCAAGCGUUGUCCGGAUUUAUUGGGCGUAAAGAGCUCGUAGGCGGUCUGUCGCGUCGGCUGUGAAAACCCGAGGCUCAACCUCGGGCCUGCAGUCGAUACGGGCAGACUAGAGUGUGGUAGGGGAGACCGGAAUUCCUGGUGUAGCGGUGAAAUGCGCAGAUAUCAGGAGGAACACCGGUGGCGAAGGCGGGUCUCUGGGCCAUUACUGACGCUGAGGAGCGAAAGCGUGGGGAGCGAACAGG
rnacentral:rRNA from 1 species